rnacentral:pre_miRNA from 1 species
CAACUACUCCCUCCGUCCGAAAAUACUUGUCAUCAAAAUGGACAAAAAUGAAUGUAUGUAGAACUAAAAUACAUCUAGAUACAUUCCCUUUUAUUCAUUUUGAUGACAAGUAUUUUCGGACGGAGGGAGUAGUAU